rnacentral:lncRNA from 1 species
CAUCUGUGUUCUCUUUCCUAGAAAUGUUGAGACUUGGCACCAGCAGCAGGAGGAUGUUUACCACAUUCCCUCUUCCAAAGGCACUCAAAACACCCUCGCUUGGUGUCCUCCAGGGAGUCUUUGAGUCAUUUUUACAUUUUUAUGACUCCAAUUACUUUUCCAUCAUGCUAACUAAGCGACUGAGAACAAGUGGGCCUGUUUGGAGAACACCAAUGAGCACAGAUAAGUCCUAAC